AUUGAACGCUGGCGGCAGGCCUAACACAUGCAAGUCGAGCGAGCGGCGGACGGGUGAGUAAUGUAUGGGGACUGCCCGAUAGAGGGGGAUAACUACUGGAAACGGUGGCUAAUACCGCAUACUAUCGGAUAACCCAUAUGGGAUUAGCUAGUAGGUGGGGUAAAGGCUCACCUAGGCGACGAUCUCUAGCUGGUCUGAGAGGAUGAUCAGCAAAACUGGGACGGAGACAGGGCCCAGACUCCUACGGAGGCAGCAGGGGGGAAUAUUGCAAAAUGGGGGCAAGCCUGAUGCAGCCAUGCCGGGGGUAUGAAGAAGGCCUUAGGGUGGUAAAGUACUUUCAGCGGGGAGGCGUUACCCGAAGAAGAAGCACGGGCUAACUCCGUGCCAGCAGCCGCGUAAUUC
rnacentral:rRNA from 1 species